UCCGGUUUGGCACCGGCAGUCUUCCUAGAGUGCCCAGCUUAACCUGAUGGCAACUAAGGACAAGGGUUGCGCUCGUUGCGGGACUUAACCCAACAUCUCACGACACGAGCUGACGACAGCCAUGCAGCACCUCGACUGGACCCCCUUGCGGGGUAGCGCUGUUUCCAACGCCGUUGACCAGCCGUUCGAGCCCAGGUAAGGUUCUUCGCGUUGCGUCGAAUUGAACCACAUGCUCCACCGCUUGUGCGGGCCCCCGUCAAUUCCUUUGAGUUUCAGCCUUGCGACUGUACUCCCCAGGCGGCAUAUUUAACGCGUUAGCUUCGCCACAAACGGGGUCGAUUCCUCUUACAGCAAAUGCGCACCGUUUACGGCUAGGACUAC
rnacentral:misc_RNA from 1 species